UACGUAGGGUGCGAGCGUUGUCCGGAAUUAUUGGGCGUAAAGGGCUCGUAGGCGGUUUGUCGCGUUGUUCGUGAAAACCGGGGGCUUAACCCUCGGCGUGCGGGCGAUACGGGCAGACUUGAGUACUGCAGGGGAGACUGGAAUUCCUGGUGUAGCGGUGGAAUGCGCAGAUAUCAGGAGGAACACCGGUGGCGAAGGCGGGUCUCUGGGCAGUAACUGACGCUGAGGAGCGAAAGCGUGGGGAGCGAACAGG
rnacentral:rRNA from 1 species